rnacentral:rRNA from 1 species
GACGUAGGGGGCAAGCGUUGUCCGGAAUCAUUGGGCGUAAAGCGCUCGUAGGCGGACUUUUAAGUCGGUGAAGAAAGACCUGGGCUCAACUCAGGGAACGGCAUCGAUACUAUUGGUCUUGAGGUAAUUAGAGGAUGAUGGAAUUUCCGGUGUAGCGGUGAAAUGCGUAGGUAUCGGAAGGAACACCUGUGGCGAAAGCGGCUCACUGGACCAUUACUGACGCUGAGGCACGAAAGCUAGGGGAGCAAACAGG